rnacentral:rRNA from 1 species
UUAAGCGACUAAGCGUACACGGUGGAUGCCCUGGCAGUCAGAGGCGAUGAAGGACGUGCUAAUCUGCGAAAAGCGCCGGCGAGGUGAUAUGAACCUUUGACCCGGCGAUGUCCGAAUGGGGAAACCCAGUGUGAUUCGUCACACUAUCGUUAACUGAAUACAUAGGUUAACGAGGCGAACCGGGGGAACUGAAACAUCUAAGUACCCCGAGGAAAAGAAAUCAACCGAGAUUCCCCCAGUAGCGGCGAGCGAACGGGGAGCAGCCCAGAGUCUGAAUCAGCUUGUGUGUUAGUGGAAGCGUCUGGAAAGUCGCACGGUACAGGGUGACAGUCCCGUACACGAAAAUGCACAGGUUGUGAACUCGAAGAGUAGGGCGGGACACGUGGUAUCCUGUCUGAAUAUGGGGGGACCAUCCUCCAAGGCUAAAUACUCCUGACUGACCGAUAGUGAACCAGUACCGUGAGGGAAAGGCGAAAAGAACCCCGGCGAGGGGAGUGAAAAAGAACCUGAAACCGUGUACGUACAAGCAGUGGGAGCACCUUCGUGGUGUGACUGCGUACCUUUUGUAUAAUGGGUCAGCGACUUAUAUUCUGUAGCAAGGUUAACCGUAUAGGGGAGCCGAAGGGAAACCGAGUCUUAACUGGGCGUUAAGUUGCAGGGUAUAGACCCGAAACCCGGUGAUCUAGCCAUGGGCAGGUUGAAGGUUGGGUAACACUAACUGGAGGACCGAACCGACUAAUGUUGAAAAAUUAGCGGAUGACUUGUGGCUGGGGGUGAAAGGCCAAUCAAACCGGGAGAUAGCUGGUUCUCCCCGAAAGCUAUUUAGGUAGCGCCUCGUGAACUCAUCUUCGGGGGUAGAGCACUGUUUCGGCUAGGGGGCCAUCCCGGCUUACCAACCCGAUGCAAACUACGAAUACCGAAGAAUGUUAUCACGGGAGACACACGGCGGGUGCUAACGUCCGUCGUGAAGAGGGAAACAACCCAGACCGCCAGCUAAGGUCCCAAAGUCAUGGUUAAGUGGGAAACGAUGUGGGAAGGCACAGACAGCCAGGAUGUUGGCUUAGAAGCAGCCAUCAUUUAAAGAAAGCGUAAUAGCUCACUGGUCGAGUCGGCCUGCGCGGAAGAUGUAACGGGGCUAAACCAUGCACCGAAGCUGCGGCAGCGACGCUUAUGCGUUGUUGGGUAGGGGAGCGUUCUGUAAGCCGUUGAAGGUGUGCUGUGAGGCAUGCUGGAGGUAUCAGAAGUGCGAAUGCUGACAUAAGUAACGAUAAAGCGGGUGAAAAGCCCGCUCGCCGGAAGACCAAGGGUUCCUGUCCAACGUUAAUCGGGGCAGGGUGAGUCGACCCCUAAGGCGAGGCCGAAAGGCGUAGUCGAUGGGAAACAGGUUAAUAUUCCUGUACUUGGUGUUACUGCGAAGGGGGGACGGAGAAGGCUAUGUUAGCCGGGCGACGGUUGUCCCGGUUUAAGCAUGUAGGCGGAGGUUCCAGGUAAAUCCGGUACCUUAUUAACGCUGAGGUGUGAUGACGAGGCACUACGGUGCUGAAGUAACAAAUGCCCUGCUUCCAGGAAAAGCCUCUAAGCAUCAGGUAACAUCAAAUCGUACCCCAAACCGACACAGGUGGUCAGGUAGAGAAUACCAAGGCGCUUGAGAGAACUCGGGUGAAGGAACUAGGCAAAAUGGUGCCGUAACUUCGGGAGAAGGCACGCUGAUAUGUAGGUGAAGCCCCUGCGGGUGGAGCUGAAAUCAGUCGAAGAUACCAGCUGGCUGCAACUGUUUAUUAAAAACACAGCACUGUGCAAACACGAAAGUGGACGUAUACGGUGUGACGCCUGCCCGGUGCCGGAAGGUUAAUUGAUGGGGUUAGCGGCAACGCGAAGCUCUUGAUCGAAGCCCCGGUAAACGGCGGCCGUAACUAUAACGGUCCUAAGGUAGCGAAAUUCCUUGUCGGGUAAGUUCCGACCUGCACGAAUGGCGUAAUGAUGGCCAGGCUGUCUCCACCCGAGACUCAGUGAAAUUGAACUCGCUGUGAAGAUGCAGUGUACCCGCGGCAAGACGGAAAGACCCCGUGAACCUUUACUAUAGCUUGACACUGAACACUGGUCCUUGAUGUGUAGGAUAGGUGGGAGGCUUUGAAGUGUGGACGCCAGUCUGCAUGGAGCCGUCCUUGAAAUACCACCCUUUAAUGGCUGGUGUUCUAACGUAGACCCGUGAUCCGGGUUGCGGACAGUGUCUGGUGGGUAGUUUGACUGGGGCGGUCUCCUCCCAAAGAGUAACGGAGGAGCACGAAGGUUAGCUAAUCCUGGUCGGACAUCAGGAGGUUAGUGCAAUGGCAUAAGCUAGCUUGACUGCGAGAGUGACGGCUCGAGCAGGUGCGAAAGCAGGUCAUAGUGAUCCGGUGGUUCUGAAUGGAAGGGCCAUCGCUCAACGGAUAAAAGGUACUCCGGGGAUAACAGGCUGAUACCGCCCAAGAGUUCAUAUCGACGGCGGUGUUUGGCACCUCGAUGUCGGCUCAUCACAUCCUGGGGCUGAAGUAGGUCCCAAGGGUAUGGCUGUUCGCCAUUUAAAGUGGUACGCGAGCUGGGUUUAGAACGUCGUGAGACAGUUCGGUCCCUAUCUGCCGUGGGCGCUGGAGAAUUGAGGGGGGCUGCUCCUAGUACGAGAGGACCGGAGUGGACGCAUCACUGGUGUUCGGGUUGUCAUGCCAAUGGCACUGCCCGGUAGCUAAAUGCGGAAAAGAUAAGUGCUGAAAGCAUCUAAGCACGAAACUUGCCCCGAGAUGAGUUCUCCCUGAGACUUUAAGUCUCCUGAAGGAACGUUGAAGACGACGACGUUGAUAGGUCGGGUGUGUAAGCGCAGCGAUGCGUUGAGCUAACCGAUACUAAUGAACCGUGAGGCUUAACCUU